CAGCAGACACAUUCCAGCCAAUCAGCAGCAGACCCUCCCUCGCAGACCCUCCCACCUCCUGGACAGCAUCCAUUUUACAUUCAUUGUGAAGCUGCAUUCUUAGUGAGCUGUCCAGGAGUUGGGAGGGUCCUUGGAGGGAGGGUCUGCUGCUGAUUGGCUGGAAUGUGUCUGCU